CUCCCUGUGGCUCAGUUGAUAGAGCAUGGUGUUUGCAUUGCCAGGGUUGUGGGUUCGAUUCCCACGGGGGGC
rnacentral:tRNA from 1 species